rnacentral:rRNA from 1 species
UAGUCAUAUGCUUGUCUCAAAAAUUAACCCAUGCAUGUCUAAGUAUAAGCAAUCUAUACGGUGAAACUGCAAAUGGCUCAUUAAAUCAGUUAUCGUUUAUUUGAUAGUACCUUACUACUUGGAUAACCGUGGUAAUUCUAGAGCUAAUACAUGCUAAAAACCCCGACUUCGGAAGGGGUGUAUUUAUUAAAUAAAAAACCAAUGCCCUUCGGGGCUCCUUGGUGAUUCAUAAUAACUUAACAAAUCGCAGGGCCUUGUGCCGGCAAUGGUUCAUUCAAAUUUCUGCCCUAUCAACUUUCGAUUGUAAGGUAGUGGCUUACAAUGGUUUCAACGGGUAACGGGGAAUUAGGGUUCUAUUCCGGAGAGGGAGCCUGAAAAACGGCUACCACAUCCAAGGAAGGCAGCAGGCGCGCAAAUUACCCAAUCCCGACACGGGGAGGUAGUGACAAUAAAUACUGAUACAGGGCUCUUUUGGGUCUUGUAAUUGGAAUGAGUACAAUUUAAAUCCCUUAACGAGGAACAAUU